rnacentral:rRNA from 1 species
GAUGAACGCUGGCGGCGUGCCUAAUACAUGCAAGUCGAGCGAACAGACGAGGAGCUUGCUCCUUUGACGUUAGGGGCGGACGGGUGAGUAACACGUAGGUAACCUACCUAUAAGACUGGGAUAACUUCGGGAAACCGGAGCUAAUACCGGAUAAUAUUUCGAACCGCAUGGUUGGAUAGUGAAAGAUGGCUUUGCUAUCACUUAUAGAUGGACCUGCGCCGUAUUAGCUAGUUGGUAAGGUAACGGCUUACCAAGGCAACGAUACGUAGCCGACCUGAGAGGGUGAUCGGCCACACUGGAACUGAGACACGGUCCAGACUCCUACGGGAGGCAGCAGUAGGGAAUCUUCCGCAAUGGGCGAAAGCCUGACGGAGCAACGCCGCGUGAGUGAUGAAGGUCUUCGGAUCGUAAAACUCUGUUAUGAGGGAAGAACAAACGUGUAAGUAACUGUGCACGUCUUGACGGUACCUAAUCAGAAAGCCACGGCUAACUACGUG